UUAGCCUUUAGCACCCGGUGACCACACAGCAGUACAUGGCACUUCGAUCUUCUAACCUAACUCUUAGCCAAGUUUUCAAGACUGUCAUGGCCACACACGUGACCCCUUUGCCACGGCUUCGCAAUUUCACCAGACUCUCCCUGCCUUAGCUGAGCAGACACCUCUUGUGGAUGCUUGGGCAGGCCCAGCUGAGGGAAGCUGGGGGCCAGAGAAAUUCCUGCUACCUCCUCCUAUGCAACUCCUGGCCUCAGGCCUCAGGAGCCUCCUGUUGCAACUGCCCCAAAGCAGCUCCCAAUCCAAGGCUGCAAAUGCUUCUGCUCCUCCUCUCUCUGGGCUGGGCCCAGGCCUUGAGGGAGGAGGGAAGGCCAUGCUGUUGUCUCCAAGAGACAGUGCAAAGGUGUCGCUUCUGGUGGCUUCCCCUGGGGUUGCAAACAUGUUUAACUCUAGGAAAUAUGAACUUGCACCCCCAACAGUGCCUCAGACCUCGCCAGCUCUCUGUCUCUACUGGGAAAAUUGGGUCUCCCUCUCUUAUUUGAGUGUAUCUUUAAAAAGCUCAGAUGGGCAGUCAGUACCUGGGAGCUGGAGGCCCAUCUAAUCAGAGCUGGCCUUGACUCCGCAGCUUCCACUGGCCACACUAGGUAUUCCUGGGACAGGGCAUAGUUUUUUCUUUUCUCAUUCAUUCAUUUACCCAUUCAUUAUUCGUUAUUCACUUAGUAGCUAUUGAACAUCCGUAUGCCAGGCAUUAGCUAGGUCCUGGGGAUACAGGCAGUGUAUCAGAGAGCUCCUGGUCUGGUUGACUGGCUGUGUGAAGGGAGCAGGUUUUGGGGGACACCUGGCUGAUAUGAUAUGUGUGAGGUAAGGGUGCCAGCUGAGCCCAGGAAAGGAAGCCAAGAUGCUAUGAGAACCUGAAGACCAGGUUCAGGAUUUUAGCCUUUGUCCCAGAAGCCUUGGGGAGCCUUUGAAGGGUUUUAAGGAGAGGAGAUAUAUGCUCAGAUUUGGGGUUUUUUUGUUUUGUUUUGUUUUUUAAGAGAUGACACUAACUCCUGUCUGGAGCACAAGUUAGAAGAAAGCAAGAGUGUAGGUUGGUCCGGAGGCUCACAGAGUAAUGGAGAGCUCUGGGGAAGAAAUAUUUGAAAUGUAACUCUGGUUGAGAAAAACUGAAGGGCCGUGGGGGUCAGGGAUAUGCUCACUGGGAAGGCAGACACUGGAGGGGAUGAUCGCUAAGUUUAUUAAUAGUUUGGGCGCACGUUGGGUUGUGGUGACAAGAGGGGAUAUUUAGGUAUGGAGUCCACCGGAGCAAUCCGACCUGUAGAUAAAACUCGGUGAAUCAUUUGCUUCUAUAUAGUUCCUCCAUAAGCAUGGGUGAGCUUGCCAGGGAGAAAGACUAGAAAAAAGUGGGUGCCUUAGUCCUUGGGGGGGAGUAGAGGAGGGUGGAGCUCCACAGAAGGCUGAGAAGGAAUGGCCAUAGAAGUAGGAGGGACACCAGAAGAGUGUGUUGUCAUGAUAGCCUUGAGAAAGUAUCUUUGCCUCUCUCCACAGUGCUUUGCCCUUGGGAGAUGGUUUCAUCCCGAGCACGUGGCCUCCAUCCUGAACGUGAGCUGCAGGGAGAGGAGGAGGGAGGACCACUAUCGAUGUCCUCUGGGAAGGGCACAGGGCGGGGGGCCAGCAAAGAGCUGGUGGCAGUGAGAGGAGCGUCUGAGGGUCGGGGGCAGGCCUGGAGAAGCCCGGGGAGUUUGAGGCUGUGGCAGCAUUCUCUGUCUGCAGGACUGCGGGGCUGUGGGUCAGGGACAUCCUAAAUGGUAGGGCACAAGGGAGCCCAGGGGACAGGAGAUGGCAGGGCUCUUUGGAGAUGUUGUGGGGACUGAGAAGCCUGAUUUGAAAGAGGAAAGAGGGGGAGGAGAAUGUGUGAAAUUCAAGAGGGAUGGCAGCGAGGGGGAAAGGCAGGGGUGGUCAGAGGGAGGGCAGGGCCAGCUGGGACAGCUUGCCUCCAGGAUGCACUGGUGUGCAUGGCCCAUUGAGUCUUGAGAUUGGAAGACACUCUUUGUUUUCCCGGCAUAGUCAUGUUUCUUAGAGAAGCAAAAAGCACAAAGAGUUUUCUCUGUAAAAGGUAAGAGAAAAGUCAGAGGGGCAGUGAGGAUGGAAUAAGGGAGACGAGUGAAGGCCCAGCGCAGGAACAGGUGAGGGCUGCGGCGCUGCCGUUCCAAAGGCAGGAGGGCCCUGGAGAAACUCAGAAACUCUCCCACCCAGUCUUUUUAGAGCUGCUCAAAGCAUCCCACGGGUCCAGAGAAAAGGGGCUGUGGAGACACAGGCUGAGAGAAGCUGGGAAGUGUCAGUGGGGGCGGAGAGUGCAGAUGACCUCAUUGGAUAGGGGCAGCCGGUCAGACCCCCAUCCCCCACCCCCGGGGGCCAGCACGCUGCAACCCAGGGCAGGCAGACCCCCUCUAAGCACUGGAUCUGGUCACCCCAGACCAUCCCCAGCUGGGUCCCUCGUGGCAAAGCCCCACCACCCAGAGGCAGGGCAGCAGUCCCGCACAGGGGCAGGCUCAAGCCAUGGCCACAUGAGGAGGCAGGGGUAGGACGAGGUGGGGGUCCUGGCAGAGGGCAAUCACACUCUCAGACUCCCUUUGGAGUAUGGCUUCCUCAAGCCCUCCAAGGCAAGAUAUGUGUUGGGACAAAGACAUGGGUUUUCUGGGGGAAACAGCAGGCUGAUCCUUGGCCCCAGAGGAGGCCAAAGUUGAAGGAACAAUUUUGGAGAAGUUCCCCCAAGGAUGGCAGCACGGUGCCUCCAGGCCUCAAUGUCUCCAUGUAUCAAAUGCAGACAAUAGAGUCGUCCCUGCCUCACAGAGCUGUUGUGAAGGUUCCAUGAGUUAAUUUGUGUAUAGAAUAGUUAGAUCAGCCAGACACAUCACAAAUGCUUCUGGUUUCACCAGGCACUGCCCAUUUACAUGACAUGCUUGGACUUUGUAGGUACAAACCACAUCUCCCAGGUGACCCCGUGCUGCUCAGAAAGUACACAUUUCAAGUUAAAGCUUGAACAAUAAUGAUGAUGAGGUUCAGUUUUAGGAUUACAUAGUAGGACAGUUUGGAGAAAUUGUUUUCUAAGAACGCUUAUUACAGUGGAAGGGAUACAGAAUGAGGGGUUGUAAGACCACAGCUGUUAUCGUCAUCAGUGUUAGGGGCUGGGAAUUCAAUGGCCAACAGAUAGAGAUGGUGCCUGCAUGAAUGGAGAUGAUGAUUCUGUUGGAGAGAUGGACAAAAAAAAAAAAAGAGUUACAAAAUGAUUACAAAUUAUGAUUAAUGCUAUGAAGGAGACAAAACAAUAGGAUAACAGGAUAGGGUUUUGUACUUUAGGUCAUGGAAAUCUUAUCUGAUGAGGGAAUGUGAGCUGAGUGUUGGCCACCCAAAAGCAGGGGUGGAGGUGUUCGGGAGGUACGGAGGCCAUUCUGGGUAGAAAAUGGUUUCCUUUCUCCAUAAGGUGAUAUUAGGCUCUGUGAAUGUUGGUUUCUACAUUUGUAAAAUGAGGAUCAUCUUACCUACCUACCUCUGUGACCACACAGAGUUGGUGUGAGGGCAAAAUGAAAUGACAUGGAAGGAUUUUGUUAACCAUAGAUGGAUGGGUAAACCAAAAGUCCUAAUGAGAACUUCCCAAUGAGGGAAGAACUCACUGAUAGUUUUCUCUCAUUUUUUUUCUAUCCUUUAAAUUUGGAUAUAAAGGAUCCAAAUUUGGAUUUAAAGGAUCCAAAUUUGUCUCAUGUGCAUAAUGUGUCUGUAACAGAGUGGUUGACGUUCAUGUUGAGAAGAAAUGACCUUAGAGUUGAGAAUAGCAGUGCAAGGAGAUGAGGGUGUGGAAGGGAUACAAAGAUGAUUCUCUGGGCAGGAGGCAGCUGAGCUGAGUCUUGGAAGAGGAGGAGGAGGUUGCUAGUUCUUGUAAAGCUGAAAAGCGAAGAAGAUUUUAGUGUGGGCAGUUGGCCUACAUUUAAGUCUUCAGUAGACAUCACUCUUUCUCUAACUGCCCUCAGGGAAGGUCAUAUUUGAUGUUACUUAUCUUCACCAAUCCCCCUUUGAGUUUCAGAGCUAGAAAGGCAGACAUGCUUUUUGCUGGGUGCUCAGAAAUGGAACUUUCAACCAGCAGGUCAUCCGCAAAUGUCUGAUGAACUGAGGGGGACACUCCAAAGAUGGGAGGCAUCCAGGGGAAGCACGGCUAGGCAAUCCCUCUGCCUUGGCUGUUUGAUGUGACAAUCAUGGACUGUGCCAAGCUGCUGAUUACAUCACAGGGAAACUGCAAACCCUGGUGACCACCUGGCCGUGCCCACAGCUUCCGAAUUGGGUUCUCUGGUUGAGCGCUCUUGUACUGGUGAUUCUGAGAAAGUUUAGGGAGAAAGAAACAUCACCCAUUGGUGAAGAAGUUGCCCAGAGCUGGAUCUAGCAAGGUCACUUUCUGAUAAAGACAUUUCUCAGCUACACUUUCAUCUCAAAAGACCGAAGCACUGAAGAGGCUCUCAGGCAGCCUUCAGUGACAGGGUGAGAGAAGGACCCCUCUUGAAGGGAAGGAGGAGGGAAGAAAGGGGAUCUAUUUCAUCCGGCAGGGGAACAUGGGAAGGAGAAGGGCUCGAUCUUGAGAUGCUGUGGGGUUUAUGUUUCCUGUGGCCUGCUCGGGGCUAUUUUCCUGCUGAAUCUGAGCCCCAUGUUGGAGGGCAUUUUGAACUGGGUCCAGGGAAAGCACUUUCUCAAGCUAAGUGAGCCUUUGACUUUUGAAACUGUAAAAUUAGUUCUUGUGAAUGCCCCACGUGUAGGUGACGAGGAGAAGGAAAAGGAAGGCUCUUGGGUAAGGAAAGUGUAGAAUAGGCAAGAGAAAUGAAUGGUCCUGGAUGGGAAAGAGACAAGAGAAGCUGAGGGGCCUCUGAGGGUUGAUUCCUAAGGUCAUGGGGAAGGAAGACACUAUUCAGUGUUAACUGAAAUGACUGACACUGGCAAUGGCAGACACGAGGACGUUCAGCCUCAGAUCAUGACGAGGCUCUGGACUCAGCGGGAAGUGCCACUCAUGGAGAGCGGUGAUGCAGAGACCCCUCUCAUCCAGUGGAAGAAAGACCCCACGUUGUGAAGUGGUCAGUUCUACCCAAACAGACCGAUGCAUUUCACACAAUUUCCGAACAAAGUUGCAGUGGGAUUUUUUUUUUUUUUUUGAGCUUAGAAUUGGUAUUUCUACUAUGUAUUUGGAAGAAUUUAUUUUUGAAGAACAAAUGAAACUAGUUCAGAGAAAAAGAACAAGAAAUAAAAUAAGAGAGCAAAAGCUUGCGCUGUUGGAUUUUAAAGCAUAUUUCGAAUCUGAAAUCAUCUAAACAGCAUGAAGCCAGUGGCCAAAUAGAUGAAUGACAAAGAACAGAAAACCCAAAUAUAGGUAUGAAGAAAAAGGCAAGAGUGGAUCUGUGAAGCGCCUCAACUUCAGCGGAGCUGGGAGAGCAAAUGCAGCCACUCCAACUGCACCCCUAGCUGAUGCGAAUGGUCUUCCUGUUUGCUGAGAUUCUUCCUCUCUCUCCUUUCCCGCCACCAAUAUGGCCACCCUGUAGGCGACAGAUGUAAGCUUCCAUCCAUCUUUGAAUGUAUCGAGGAAGUGAUUUUUACCUAAUAAAGGUGGCAUUCCAAGUCAAUGUCAAUCAUGCGGUGCUAGAAAAUGCAUGAGACCUUCUCUUUCCUCCAAUCAGCAACUGGUCACUGAGGGCAUAUUGUAGCCAAGCUCUGGGCUCUGGAAACUGCCCCCUCAAGGAGUGCACCCCCCAGCUAGACAGAGGAGCUUCAGGCCAUGCAAAGUCAAUGAAGCUCUGCUGUCCACUAGCGCUGGGGGCAGAAUUGUGUAAGAGGAAGGUCUGCACCUGACCAAGACACGUCUGUGAGAAGUCCUUAUCUCCAACCGUAAUCUGGUUCCAGGUGAUUUUACCCCCGCUCGGUCUUUAAGUCGGCUGUUUCCUCUGAGCACAGAAGGAAAUCCCCGCGCAGGGGAUGCUCCGCCCAAGGACAAGGACCUGGAUGAACAUCGGGCUGACUGGAGCCUCUGGGUCUGGUGAGGCACAGAUGUUUUCUGAAGAUUCUGGAUGUACCUUGCCACACCUGGACUAUGCUUCAUUUUCCUUGCAGGGGAAAAGAACUUUUCUUUUUCCGUCACCAUUUUAAAAAUCUUUCUAUGCAUUUAGAAAACCUAGUUCAGACAUACGAAGAACUCUGGGAUGAAAUCUCAAAGCCGGGCCUGGAGGUUUGGCCACGUGGUUUCUACCAGACAAACCAUUAUAAUUACGCAUCAGAACCACUCACAGGGCCUUGGAAAUUCUCUUCUCUGUAUGUCCCAUUAAGUUUGGGAGGCACCAAAGCCCUGAUGACAAUGGGAAAUGAUAAAACAUCAUAUGGAAUUUUAACAUCAUAUGGAUAAAACAUCACAUGGAAGCUA